GACAAGAACUCCCAUAAGCCCCUCCUUUAGAAGGUUGCACCAUCUCUCCCAAGUGCCCUGCUGGGGACCAAUGCUUUACCACACAGUCCUUCAGGGCACACCCCAGAUCCCAACGAUCGCACGUGGACAUAACAAGUUAGUUUCCUCUUAUUUUGACACGAAAAAUACAACAGCUUUAUUUGAUGAUGAAUGUCAACCAGCAUUGGUCAUUGUCAGGGCAAUGACAAGGAGUGAUGAAGACUCUGGUGACUGGAGAGCAUAGACCUGGCCCCCACCCAAGUGAGAUGGGAACUUUAGAAGGUCAUUAAGGUUAAAGGAGGUCAUAAGGGUGGGGUCCUGUAUGAUAAUAUUGGCGACCACAAUAUGAGACACUAGGAUGCUCUAUCUCUCCCCCACCCAAAGGUGCACAAUGAAGAGGCCACAUGAGCCCACAGAGGUGGUGGUCACCUAUAGGCCAAGACAAGAGGCUUCAGCAUGAAACCUCUCUUCCUGGCUCCUUGAUGUGGACUUCCAGCCUCCAGAACUGUGAGAGAUACAUUUCUGCUCCCUAAGUCACCCAAUCUGUGGUAUUGCUAUGGCAUCCCUAGAAAACUCAAACCACGACCAAAGUAGAGCGCUCCUUCCAAAUCCAGAGGACUCCCAGGCAGGAAUGAGAACCCAAGAUUGUGAGAUCAUCCAUUGGUGGUCAGAAGACAGAAAAUUGAAUUUUCACAUGAAAAAUUUCCCAUUUCUUAUUGAUUGUAACUUAAAGUAUUUAAACACUGUGAGUAUAUGAAAUGAUGUAUAUAUAUAUAUAUAAAGCCCUUUAUUGCAAUAUUAUUUGUAAAAUGUUGAAAAUAAUUCAAGUGUACAUAAAUGAUGGAACAUUCAUGAACAGAAUCAGAACCAAUGGACCUUUUAUGAACGUGUAUUUUGCAAAGACUCCUUGCAAUAAAAUCCAUUAACAAUUGACUCCAUGACAUAAUUUUAAGAAAGUAAUAAAGCAUCUGAACUUUAAUAUGAAAUCAGUAUGUUUUAUAAUUAACAACAAAAUAUAUUUCAAUGUGUCAGUACUCAGACCCAAGUACUCUAGAUGAUAUGACCACAGAGUUGGGCUCACCCAUCCACCAGCCACAAAUGCAGACUUAUACGGCAUGC
rnacentral:lncRNA from 1 species